AUCUCCUGGAUGACGUCAUCUCAUGGCAACUCUUACAACGGCUGCUGGGUACUCUCGGGACGAAACGCUCCAGGAAGUAAGCUCUACAAGUAGCCAAUCAGCCACGCCCGUCGUUCGCACUGAUGAACGCGCAUGCUCGUGCAAGGUAAGCCAGCUCACUAUACCAGAGUCGCUGUUGAGGCUUCCGUGGAGUUGCAGCAGCAAUUGCUUGUUUGUUUGUUUGUUUGUUUGUUUGAAUAAAGAGAAAUACAUUGAUACAAAAA